rnacentral:rRNA from 1 species
UACGUAGGGUGCGAGCGUUAAUCGGAAUUACUGGGCGUAAAGCGCACGUAGGCGGCUUCUUAAGUCAGGGGUGAAAUCCUGGAGCUCAACUCCAGAACUGCCCUUGAUACUGAGGAGCUCGAGUCCGGAAGAGGUGAGUGGAACUGCGAGUGUAGAGGUGAAAUUCGUAGAUAUUCGCAAGAACACCAGUGGCGAAGGCGGCAUCCUGGACCGACAUUGACGCUGAACGGCGAAAGCUAGGGGAGCAAACGGG